rnacentral:piRNA from 1 species
UGAGUGUGUGUAAAUGGCAAUUAAAACUUU